rnacentral:rRNA from 1 species
UACUUAGGGUGCGAGCGUUAAUCGGAAUUACUGGGCGUAAAGCGUGCGCAGGCGGUUUUGUAAGUCAGAUGUGAAAUCCCCGGGCUUAACCUGGGAACUGCGUUUGAAACUACAAGGCUAGAGUGUGGCAGAGGGGGGUGGAAUUCCACGUGUAGCAGUGAAAUGCGUAGAGAUGUGGAGGAACACCGAUGGCGAAGGCAGCCCCCUGGGUUAACACUGACGCUCAGGCACGAAAGCGUGGGGAGCAAAC